rnacentral:tRNA from 1 species
GCAGUGGUGAUUCAGUGGUAGAAUUCUCACCUUCCAUGUGGGUGACCUGGGUUUGAUUCCUGGCCAGUGCA